UGGGGAAUAUUGCACAAAUGGGGGAAAUCCUGAUGCAGCGACGCCGCGUGAAGGAAGAAAGUAUCUUCGGUAUGUAAACUUCUAUCAGCAGGGAAGAUAGUGACGGUACCUGACUAAGAAGCCCCGGCUAACUACGUGCC
rnacentral:rRNA from 1 species